rnacentral:rRNA from 1 species
AGUUUGAUCCUGGCUCGGAUUGAACGCUUAUGGGAUGUUUUACACAUGCGGGAAGUCGAACGGCAGCACGGACUUCGGUCUGGUGGCGAGCGGCGAAACGGUGAGUAAUGUAUCGGAACGCUUAGUAGCGGGGGAUAACUACGCGAAAGCAAGCAUACGCCCGGGGAAAGCGGGGGACCUUUCGGGCCUCGUAAUUAUUAGAGCGGCUGAUAUCGGAGAUUAGCUAGUUGGUGGGGUAACGGCUCACCAAGGCGACGAUCCGUAGCUGGUUUGAGAGGACGACCAGCCACCUGGGACUGGAGACACGGCCCAGACUCCUACGGAGGCAGCAGCGGGGGAAUUUUUGACAAUGGGGAAACUCCUGAUCCAGCCAUCCUGCGUGCGAUGAAGGCCUGGCUAAAGCACUUUUGGCAGGAAAAGAAACGGCAUGGAUAAUACCUCAGCAACUGACGGUACCUUGCAGAAUAAGCACCGGUUAACCACGUGCCAGCAGCCGCGGUAAUGUAGGUGUAAGCGUUAAUCGGAAUUACUGGGCGUAAAGGCGCAGGCGGUUCGGAAAGAAAGAUGUGAAAUCCCAGAGCUUAACUUUUGGAACUGCAUUUUUAACUACCGAGCUAGAGUGUGCUCAGAGGGGAGGUGGAAUUCCGCGUGUAGCAGUGAAAUGCGUAGAUAUGCGGAGGAACACCGAUGGCGAAGGCAGCCUCCUGAUAACACUGACGCUCAUGCACGAAAGCGUGGGGAGCAAACAGAUUUAGAUACCCUGGUAGUCCACGCCCUAAACAUGCCACCAUUAGCUGCUGGGGCCUUCGGGCCUUUGGUAGCGCAGCUAACGCAGUGAAGUUGACCGCCUGGGGAGUACGGUCGCAAGAUUAAACCCGUGCGAAUUGACGGGACCCCGCACAAGCGGUGGAUGAUGAUUAAUUCGAUGCAACGAAAAACCUUACCUACCCUUGAUGUCUGGAAUCCCGAAGAGAUUUGGGAGUGCUCGCAAGAGAACCGGAACACAGGUGCUGCAUUGACACGUCAGCUCGUGUCGUGAGAUGUUGGGUUAAGUCCCGCAACGAGCGCAACCCUUGUCAUUAGUUGCUACGAAAGGGCACUCUAAUGAGACUGCCGGUGACAAACCGAGGAAGGUGAUGACGUCGUUUUUUACGGCCCUUAUGGGUAGGGCUUCACACGUCAUACAAUGGUCGGGACAGAGGGUCGCCAACCGCGAGGGGGAGCCAAUCCCAGAAACCCGAUCGUAGUCCGACCAGCGUCUGCAACUCGACUGCGUGAAGUCGGAAUCGCUAGUACCCUGCGGAUCAGCAUGUCGCGGUGAAUACGUUCCCGUCUUGUACACACCGCCCGUCAGACCAUGGGAGUGGGUUUUACCAGAAGUAGUUAGCCUAACCGUAAGGAGGGCGAUUACCACGGGUAGGAUUCAUGACCGGGGUGAAGUCGUAACAAGGUAA